ACGGCGAGUGAAGCGGCAACAGCUCAAAUUUGAAAUCUGGCCCUUUCAGGGCCCGAGUUGUAAUUUGGAGAAGAUGCUUCGGGUGCGGCCCCGGUCUAAGUUCCUUGGAACAGGACGUCACAGAGGGUGAGAAUCCCGUACGUGCCCGGUGGUCGCCCCCGUGUGAAGCUCUUUCGACGAGUCGAGUUGUUUGGGAAUGCAGCUCAAAAUGGGUGGUAAAUUUCAUCUAAAGCUAAAUAUUGGCCAGAGACCGAUAGCGCACAAGUAGAGUGAUCGAAAGAUGAAAAGCACUUUGGAAAGAGAGUUAAACAGUACGUGAAAUUGUUGAAAGGGAAGCGCUUGCAACCAGACUUGCGCGCGGCCGAUCAUCCGGUGUUCGCACCGGUGCACUCGACCGCGCGCAGGCCAGCAUCGGUUUGGGUGGCUGGAGAAAGGCCACGGGAAUGUGGCUCCCCUCGGGGAGUGUUAUAGCCCGCGGCGCAAUGCAGCCCACC
rnacentral:rRNA from 1 species